rnacentral:rRNA from 1 species
AGGGAAUCUUCGGCAAUGGACGGAAGUCUGACCGAGCAACGCCGCGUGAGUGAAGAAGGUUUUCGGAUCGUAAAGCUCUGUUGUUAGAGAAGAAUGAUGGUGGGAGUGGAAAAUCCACCAUGUGACGGUAACUAACCAGAAAGGGACGGCUAACUACGUGCCAGCAGCCGCGGUAAUACGUAGGUCCCGAGCGUUGUCCGGAUUUAUUGGGCGUAAAGCGAGCGCAGGCGGUUCUUUAAGUCUGAAGUUAAAGGCAGUGGCUCAACCAUUGUACGCUUUGGAAACUGGAGAACUUGAGUGCAGAAGGGGAGAGUGGAAUUCCAUGUGUAGCGGUGAAAUGCGUAGAUAUAUGGAGGAACACCGGUGGCGAAAGCGGCUCUCUGGUCUGUAACUGACGCUGAGGCUCGAAAGCGUGGGGAGCAAAC